AUUGAACGCUAGCGGGAUGCUUUACACAUGCAAGUCGAACGGCAGCGCGGACUUCGGUCUGGCGGCGAGUGGCGAACGGGUGAGUAAUGUAUCGGAACGUGCCCAGUAGCGGGGGAUAACUACGCGAAAGCGUAGCUAAUACCCCAUACGCCCUACGGGGGCCAGCAGGGGAUCGUAAGACCUUGCACUAUUGGAGCGGGCGAUAACUGAUUCGCUAGUUGGUGAGGUAACGGGUCACCAAGGCGGGGAGCCCAAGCUGGGUUGAGAGGACGGCCCGCUAGACUGUGUGUGAGGAACGGCACAGACUCCGACAGGGGGCAGCAGUGGGGAAUUUUGGACGAUGGGGGCAUCCCUGAUCUAGCCAUCCCGCGGAUGCGAUGAAGCACUUCGGGUUGGAAAGCGCUGUUGGCAUGAAAGAAGUGACGCGGGCUUAUACCCCGUGGAACUGACGGUACCUGCAGAAUAAGCACCGGCUAACUACGUG
rnacentral:rRNA from 1 species